UAUCAAUCUAAUCUUUGAACAGAGCAACCGCCGAGUUUCUCGUUAGUUCUUCUCGGUAGUAAAGGCAUUCCGUACCAGUGGCAGAUGCUUUUGACUAUUCGAAAGUACUUGUAAAAGUUUAUUCGAAUAAAAAUAUUUUGAGUUUUGA